rnacentral:lncRNA from 1 species
CAAAUUCUCUUCUCCAAGCCCAGUCGAAGCUUAAAGGGACAACAACACCCUCCUCCCAGCCCCAGCGAAGCCUCCGGAAGGGUUGGGAACAGACCUCCAGGGCCAGCGGGAGCUCCCAUUCCCUCUGCCUUGCGGGGGCCCCACAAGCAUUUCUGCCACAGGCCCAGACGCCAGCCUGUGAUCUCCGGGAAGGGCACCCCCAAAUGAGGCCUGCGCCCCCACAGAGAGGAGCUGAUGGCUGGGGCUCCCUCCUCAUGCUCUGUAGAUGAUGACAAGACCCCCGACUUGGCUCAUCGUAGUAAUCAAAUCUUCAAGGGUCGAACUCAGAGUUAUUUCAAACCUAAGGUGGAAGGGAAAAGGAAGAGUGUCCAGUUGGACCAGUCUGGUAGCCAGUGACUGAAGACAGGCUGGUGCCCUGCCUGGAAGGUCGGAGCGAGGCACAGGCACGAGGCAGGCCACGUCUCAGCCACAUGCGAGCAUCACUGAGUUACUAAGCUGCCUGGACCGGCCUCCACCUUGAGGUCUGCCUGCUUCAGCCUCCCAGAGUGCUGAGGUUACUGGCUGGUGUCGCCAUGCCAGCUGGAACUGUGCUUCAGUGACAGGCCAGUCUGCUCCUCCUCACUGGACUUUGCCCCUUCCACCUUUGUCUGUAAGUUUGUGUAGCUACUUCUGGCUCCACUCCCACAUUCCCAGUGUCACUGAAACAGUCCCACGUGCAUCCUGGGUCACCAUGGCUUCUCCAGCUGUCACGCGUGGCCCAAGACAGGGGGCCUCAGCAAUGCUGGCCGGUGUUGUGAUUGAAGCUGCAGCCCAGCGCGGACCGGAGAGAACAGGACUCCUCCCGAC